rnacentral:rRNA from 1 species
AUACGGAGGAUCCGAGCGUUAUCCGGAUUUAUUGGGUUUAAAGGGUGCGCAGGCGGCCAUUUAAGUCAGCGGUUAAAUCGUGGGGCUCAACCCCAUUCUGCCGUUGAUACUGGGUGGCUUGAUUGCGGUCGAGGUUGGUGGAAUUCGUUGUGUAGCGGUGAAAUGCAUAGAUAUGACGAAGAACACCGAUUGCGUAGGCAGCUGACCAGACCGCAAAUGACGCUCAUGCACGAAAGUGCGGGGAUCGAACAGGAUUAGAUGCCCUGGUAGUCCGCACAGUAAACGAUGAAUACUCGUUUUCGGCGAUAUAAUGUCGGAGGCAAAGCGAAAGCGAUAAGUAUUCCACCUGGGGAGUACGCCGGCAACGGUGAAACUCAAAUGAAUUGGCGGGG